AUUGAACGCUGGCGGCAGGCCUAACACAUGCAAGUCGAACGAGUGGCGGACGGGUGAGUAAUGUCUGGGAAACUGCCUGAUGGAGGGGGAUAACUACUGGAAACGGUAGCUAAUACCGCAUACCAUCGGAUGUGCCCAGAUUGGAUUAGCUAGUAGGUGGGGUAAAGGCUCACCUAGGCGACGAUCCCUAGCUGGUCUGAGCGGAUGACCAGCAACACUGGAACUGGGAAACGGUCCAGACUCCUACGGGAGGCGGCAGAGGGGAAUAUUGGACAAGGGGCGAAAGCCGGAUGCACCCAUGCCGCGUGUAUGAAGAAGGCCUUCGGGUUGUAAAGUACUUUCAGCGGGGAGGCGUUACCCGCAGAAGAAGCACCGGCUAACUCCGUGCCAGCAGCCGCGGUAAUUC
rnacentral:rRNA from 1 species